UCUCGAUAAGGGGGUGUGGGGGUGUGUGAGACCCCCACACAAAGAAACGGGGGUGACACGCAGAAGGGCUGACCAACAACUCCCAAACACAAAACCAAUGAAGAAAAAAAAAAAAAAAACAUUUGUCCCAAAAGUGGAAAUCCUGCGGGCAAAACCAUGUACGUUGAAGUGUGAAGAACGAGAAAGUAGGAGACGACACGUUUGCGUCCAGGACACGCGAGAGACGCGGGGCUAGUCCCUCCGUAAGCCAGGCUGUCUCGGGCCCCGGGCGGUACGGGCCGAACCGCGCCAGAAACCCGGGCAGCGAGGGAGGAGGCUGGCACCUCAGGGGAGCGCACUGGCGCUGGCGGACCCGCUGUGGAGAGUCACGCGCGGACUGCACGCCGGGCCAGGCGGACCCCGCCGCAGCCCGCACGGAUCCCGACACGGAUCCCCACACAGACCCCGCCGCGGCCCGCACGGAACCCGCACAGAUCCCAACGCGGAUCCCCGCAGCAUCCCACACAGAUCCCACAGCCACCCCGUCAGUACCCGCACAGAUCCCCGCAGCCACCCUGUUAGCACCCGCACAGAUCUCGACACGGAUCCCCACAGCCGCCCCACACAGAUAAAUCCCCGCGGCGUUCCGCACAGACCCCGCAAGCGGUCCGGUAGCACCCCGCACAGACCCUGCGGCGCCCUCAUACAGAUCCCACCAGCGCCCGCACGCAGCCCCCCACCACGCCCGGGGCACGGACCCCGCGGUGCCCCGAAGACUUCCGCGAGCCGCCCCACACGUGGCCCUGCACAGACCCCUCGCAGUGCCGCGCACGUGGCCCGGCUCGGACCCCGCGGACCCCCCACAGUGCCGGUGGGCACACGGCGGACCACAGAGGACACCGGGGAACCGUAGCCCGGGACAGCAGCGAGGGGCGGCUGUCCGGGACUAGGGACAAAUUGCUCACGUUUGUAGGAAUGAGCUGGCUCUCCCCUCAAGAUGGUAAGGAUGCUACCAACAGGUCCAGGCGUGGGUGCCGCUUGCCAUUGCAGCAGUGGAGACGGAGUGCCUCUCUCCCAGUAAUUCUACUGAAGUUCCAGGCCCAUCCGUGAGUCAAUCCCUGAGAUGCUGGUUGCACAGACCUGAGACAUGUGUCCAUUCCUAGAUCAGAAGUGAUGUCAUUCCCACUCACCGCAAAGGGCUGAGAGUAGGGGAGGCCUGACCCCUCAAAUGAAAUAGGAAGCAUGAUGACCAAAAUAAAGGGGAGUGCUUGUUGGGCGAGCAAACCAACAGGCACCCGAUUCGAUGA